rnacentral:rRNA from 1 species
GGAUUUACUGGGCGUAAAGCGUACGCAGACGGUGAGAAAGGUCGGAUGUGAAAGCCUACGGCUUAACCGUAGAACUGCAUCCAAAACUACUAGGCUAGAGUGUGGGAGAGGAAGAUGGAAUUAGUUGUGUAGGGGUAAAAUCCGUAGAGAUAACUAGGAAUACCAAAAGCGAAGGCAAUCUUCUGGAACACUACUGACGCUGAGGCGCGAAAGCGUGGGGAGCAAACAG